GAUGAACGCUGGCGGCGUGCCUAAUACAUGCAAGUCGAGCGAAUGGAUUAAGAGCUUGCUCUUAUGAAGUUAGCGGCGGACGGGUGAGUAACACGUGGGUAACCUGCCCAUAAGACUGGGAUAACUCCGGGAAACCGGGGCUAAUACCGGAUAACAUUUUGAACCGCAUGGUUCGAAAUUGAAAGGCGGCUUCGGCUGUCACUUAUGGAUGGACCCGCGUCGCAUUAGCUAGUUGGUGAGGUAACGGCGCACCAAGGCAACGAUGCGUAGCCGACCUGAGAGGGUGAUCGGCCACACUGGGACUGAGACACGGCCCAGACUCUUACGGGAGGCAGCAGUAGGGAAUCUUCCGCAAUGGACGAAAGUCUGACGGAGCAACGCCGCGUGAGUGAUGAAGGCUUUCGGGUCGUAAAACUCUGUUGUUAGGGAAGAACAAGUGCUAGUUGAAUAAGCUGGCACCUUGACGGUACCUAACCAGAAAGCCACGGCUAACUACGUGCCAGCAGCCGCAGUAA
rnacentral:rRNA from 1 species